AUGACGCUGGCAGGGUCAGGGGGCAUUUCGAGUUUCCGUGACAGAAAAGCUCCUCAAGAUGAGGCAGUCCCGGCCGCGUCACGUCCGCGGUGGCAAGCGGGCCUGAUGCUGGGCUGCUUGGGCAGCCCUGGCGUUGGGCGGGCACGGUGCGGGGCGCGGGGCCGCCGCGCCCGGGUGAGAAGCGGGGCGGGACGGAGCGCGCGGGGCGCCGGCGGCACGUCUGCCAGCUGAGACCCGCGUCGCUGGCAAGGUUGCCCCCCGCCCCUCGGCUUGCGUUUACAGCAUUUAGAGGCUGCCACAAAGAUGGACGGCCACACAGAUAUCCACGUUGACUUAACCUUCCCCUCAAGUCUGUGACACUUAAAUAGCUUCUGUCCUCUACGGACGGGACGGAGAGAGCCAAGACCGUGUCCCAGAUGACUAGAGGACUAACAGCUGCUAACGUCUACUGACUCUUAACCAUGCCUAGCUAUAACGUAUGGCCUGGAUCUUACAAACAGCCUCUUUCCGCGCCUGCCGGACAGAGUCCUGGCCCCCAGUUUCAACUGAAUCCAGUUCCAAAAGUU